GUGUCAGCAGCCGCGGUAAUACGAGUACCCCGAGCGUUAUCCGGAAUUAUUGGGCGUAAAGGGUGUGUAGGCGGUUGUAUUAGUCUUUCGUUAAAUCUACGGGCUCAACCUGUAGGCCGCGAGGGAAACGGUACGACUAGAGAAUGCGAGAGGUAUGUGGAACUCAUGGUGUAGGGGUGAAAUCCGUUGAUAUCAUGGGGAACACCGAAUGCGAAGGCAGCAUACUGGCGCAUUUCUGACGCUGAAACACGAAAGCGUGGGUAGCGAAUGGGAUUAGAAACCCCCGUAGUCC
rnacentral:rRNA from 1 species